rnacentral:lncRNA from 1 species
GACCCAUUUCUGGCCAAAGACAAACUCUGCGGGAGACUUCUGGGAAAGUGUUUCCUUUCUGAUAAGAAAAAGGCAAAUGGGGAGAGGCCGGGUUGCCCCUUCUCUUCUCUUCCUGCUUUGGACAUGGUGGAUGAAGAGGUGAUGUGUGAGCUGCGGCAGCCAUCUGUGACGUGAGGACCAGUCGCUGACGAGCUCGGGUCCCGUACAGCAACCUUCAGGCGCCAAACACACUCUCCAGCUCCGAGCUCCAGAUGGCUCUUAAACAGUAGCUGCCUAGUCUAGUCUCCAGCAUGGCAGCUGUGGCUCAGUCACCAGGCUGUACACGAUGUGUUCCUGCCUCCUACAGCCCGGAGAGCAUCCCACUUGUUUGUUCAUAUCUGUGUGGUUAGAGUCUGUCUCCCCCACAACGACAUUCAUCUUGGUUACUUCCUGGUGCUCAGGGUACGAGCAGUGCCACACACACACAGGUGGCAGAACUGCAAAGCUGCAAGAGACCCGGGAAACCAAACCAGCUAAGACCUGCCUGGUCCAGAGAAGAUGUUCUCAUCCCACUGGCUGGCUUUCCCUUGCCAAGGUGCAUCCUCCUCCAGAGGGUGCACUGACUUCCCAGGUGAAGCUAAGAGCCCCACUGGGCGUUCCUAUAUGCCUCAUCCCAUAGUGCUUCCAAGCCUUCUCCUAUCCCUAAGCCUUUAGAAUUUUCCCAAGAUCAGAUUAAUUUGCAACAUAAACUUCAGGCUUGGCAGCUCGUCUGUGUUGUGAAGAUACCUGGCCAAUGUCACAGACGGCCACUCCGUUUGUAGACCAAGCAGGACUCACAAGCCACUGUGUGGUCAUGAGUGUCAGCACUUUUGAGAAGGCCAAUUCAGGCAACACGUACUGUGUUUAGCACCUGUUGAGAACCUACUGUGUGCAGACCAUGUUCUAGGUUUGGAUGGCACAUAGUGAAGACGGCAAUCAUUCCCCUGCAUCUGUAUAUAGUUCCUGGGGAUGGUCCCUCAAACUUUUAGCAGGAGAUCGGGCCCAGACUCGUUUACCUUCAGUGACAACUGUUUCCCAGAGGUCAGCACAUAGUAGGCACUUGAUGAAUUUAACAAUUUGUUUCCCUGAGAGGCUGGGGAAGCUUGCAUGGCUAGGGUGAGGCCAAGAGGGUAAAUUAAGAGCCAGAUAUUGUUGGGUGGAUAGUGGGCUUGGUAUAUUUCAGUGUGCCUACUGGAGGUUACUCAGUAAAUCACCGUUUCGUUUUUUUGUUUUUUUUGUUGUUUUGGGUUUUUUUUGUUUUUUGUUUUUUGUUUUUUUUUUGGCGGUAUACCCUGGACUGGGGGGUGAGCAGCAUCAUUCCCAAACCUCUGUGAUGUGACUGUCACACUUGUAGCCUCUAUUCAGAUGCGUGCAUCGAUUUUCAAAGGUUAAACAAACAAAACCACACACCUGUGCUCACACGUGUACACACACACACACACAAUUUAAAACACACACACAUAAUUAAAAAGACCAAGAGCAAAUUUUAAAAGUGACACAUGUGCAGAAAGUAGGUGUCUUGUGCCUGUUGGGAACUGGGACACC